rnacentral:lncRNA from 1 species
UUUUGUGUCAUCUUUUUUUGAGACAGGGUUUCACUAUGCAGUUCAUGCUGCCUUAAACUCACUGUGUAGUCCUGGCUGGCCUUGAACUUGUGGCGAUCCUCCUGCCUCAGCCUCACUAGGAUUACAGGUGUGAGCCACCAUGCCUGGCUUAUGUUUCCCUUUUUUUUUUUGACUUUUUGAGACAGGGUCUCGCUCCGCAGUUCAGGCUGGCCUUGAGCUCACUUUGUAGGCCAGGCUGGUCUCGAACUUGCAGGGAUCCUCCUGCCUCAGCCUCAUGAGUGCUGGAAUUACAGGUGUGCACCAACACGCCCAGCCUUAUGUUUCACUUUUAACCCUGGAUUAUAUUGGUAAUGCUGUGAAAUCUACAUGGUGCCCACAUUAUAGCCCACACUACACGGCUCCCCGGCAGCUUGAGGUGACCAAGGGCUGCCGUGCUGGCAGUGACUCUGAGGGACAGCGCCGUGUGCAUCUUCUACGUCCCACCCUCAUGAGGCGGAUGCUCUGUUCCUCUACCUCCCUUCCGUUUUAA